rnacentral:rRNA from 1 species
UACGGAGGGUGCAAGCGUUAUCCGGAUUCACUGGGUUUAAAGGGUGCGUAGGCGGGCAGGUAAGUCAGUGGUGAAAUCCUUGAGCUUAACCUCGAGAACUGCCAUUGAUACUAUCUGUCUUGAAUAUUGUGGAGGUAAGCGGAAUAUGUCAAUGUAGCGGUGAAAUGCUUAGAUAUGACAUAGAACACCCUAUUGCGAAGGCAGCUUACUACGCAUAUAUUGACGCUGAGGCACGAAAGCGUGGGGAUCAAACAGG